rnacentral:rRNA from 1 species
AUUGAACGCUGGCGGCAGGCCUAACACAUGCAAGUCGAGCGGAGCGGCGGACGGGUGAGUAAUGCCUAGGAAUCUGCCUGGUAGAGGGGGAUAACGUCCGGACACGGGCGCUAAUACCGCAUACUCUAAGAUGAGCCUAGGUCGGAUUAGCUAGUUGGUGGGGUAAAGGCCUACCAAGGCGACGAUCCGUCACUGGGCUGAGAGGAUGAUCAGUCACACUGGAACUGUGACACGGUCCAGCUUCCUACGGGCGGCAGCAGUGGGGAAGAUUGGGCAAUGGGCGAAAGCCUGUGCCAGCCAUGCCGCGUGUGUGAAGAAGGUCUUCGGAUUGUAAAGCACUUUAAGUUGGGAGGCGUUACCAACAGAAUAAGCACCGGCUAACUUCGUGCCAGCCGCCGCGGUAAUAC